rnacentral:rRNA from 1 species
UACGAAGGGGAGGCUAGCGUUGUUCGGAAUUACUGGGCGUAAAGCGCACGUAGGCGGAUCGAUCAGUCAGGGGGUGAAAUCCCAGAGCUCAACUCUGGAACUGCCUUUGAUACUGUCGGUCUAGAGUAUGGAAGAGGUGAGUGGAAUUCCGAGUGUAGAGGUGAAAUUCGUAGAUAUUCGGAGGAACACCAGUGGCGAAGGCGGCUCACUGGUCCAUUACUGACGCGUGAGGUGCGAAAGCGUGGGGAGCAAACAGG